rnacentral:rRNA from 1 species
AAUUUUGGACAAUGGGGGCAACCCUUAUCAAGCCAUCCCGCGUGUGCGAUGAAGUCCUUCGGGUUGUAAAGCACUUUUGGCAGGGAAGAAAAGGCUCUGGCUAAUACCAGGAGCUGCUGACGAUACCUGCCGACUAAGCACAUGCUAAAUACGGGCCAUCAGCCGCGGUAAUACUUAGGGGGGAAGCGUUAAUCGGAAUUACUGGGCGUAAAGCGUGCGAAGGCGGUUUGGCAAGAAGGAUGUGAAAUCCCAGGGCUUAACCUUGGAACUGCAUUCUUAACUGGCGGGAUAGAGUAUGUCAGAGGGGGGUAGAAUUACGCGUGUAGCAGUGAAAUGCGUAGAGAUGCGGAGGAAUACCGAUGGCGAAGGCAGCCCCCUGGGAUAAUACUGACGCUCAUGCACGAAAGCGUGGGGAGCAAAC